CCUCCCACCCGUGUUUACUGUACCUUAGUUGCUUCGGCGGGCCCGCCAUUCAUGGCCGCCGGGGGCUCUCAGCCCCGGGCCCGCGCCCGCCGGAGACACCACGAACUCUGUCUGAUCUAGUGAAGUCUGAGUUGAUUGUAUCGCAAUCAGUUAAAACUUUCAACAAUGGAUCUCUUGGUUCCGGCAUCGAUGAAGAACGCAGCGAAAUGCGAUAACUAGUGUGAAUUGCAGAAUUCCGUGAAUCAUCGAGUCUUUGAACGCACAUUGCGCCCCCUGGUAUUCCGGGGGGCAUGCCUGUCCGAGCGUCAUUGCUGCCCAUCAAGCACGGCUUGUGUGUUGGGUCGUCGUCCCCUCUCCGGGGGGGACGGGCCCCAAAGGCAGCGGCGGCACCGCGUCCGAUCCUCGAGCGUAUGGGGCUUUGUCACCCGCUCUGUAGGCCCGGCCGGCGCUUGCCGAACGCAAAUCAAUCUUUUCCAGGUUGACCUCGGAUCAGGUAGGGAUACCCGCUGAACUUAAGCAUAUCAAUAAGGCGGAGGA
rnacentral:rRNA from 1 species